GGGCACUGGGGAUGAGGAGGCAUCUUGAGAAAUGGAAGGAAUGGGAUCUACUUCCAGUUCACUAGAGGCGUCCUGACACCCCUAGCUC
ensembl:miRNA